rnacentral:tRNA from 7 species
GGCUGCAUAGCUCAGUGGUAGAGCGAGGGACUCAUAAGCCCUAGGUCGCAGGUUCGAUCCCUGCUGCAGCCA